rnacentral:lncRNA from 1 species
GUUGAUUAGGAUGAGGAACACCUUGUGAAACGGUCUGUUAAAUGUGUUAGUUCACUAUAAAACUGUGAAAUAACGCUUGAUAUCCUCAGAAAAGGCUUUAUUGAGGUGAUAUUAGUAGUUGUUGCUGCUUCAGGUGAGCGGAUGGCUGAGAUUUUCCACGAGUUUUAGGAGCUCAGGUGAGCGGAUGGCUGAGAUUUUCCCCAGUUUUAGGAGCUCAGGACUUUUGUGUGCACUGCUUUCGUGUUUUGGGGUUUGAUUGGAUUAAGGACAGUAAAAUUGAGGGUCCUGGAUGACCGUCUCCAACUUAUUAGCCAAUGAUGAAUCAGUUUACUCUGCAUGGCUUCUGAUUGGCUCACUGCUGCUAAAUCCCUGUGAAUCAACCCUUAAAUCAACUUUUACUAAACAGUCAGCUCGUGGUCACGGCCAAGUGACAAAUGAGCCCACCUUCG